rnacentral:rRNA from 1 species
AAUAUUCGACAUUGGGCGAAACCCUGACGCAGCAACGCUGCGUGAAGGAUGAAGGUCGUCGGAUUGUAAAGCACUUUAAGUUGGGAGGAAGGGCUUUAGGUUAAUACCCUGAAGUUUUGACGUUACCAACAGAAAAAGCACCGGCGAACGCUGUGCCAGCAGCCGCGGUAAUACAGAGGGUGCAAGCGUUAAUCGGAAUUACUGGGCGUAAAGCGCGCGUAGGUGGUUCAGUAAGAUGGGUGUGAAAUCCCCGGGCUUAACCUGGGAACUGCUUUCAUAACUGCUGAGCUAGAGUACGGUAGAGGGUAGUGGAAUUUCCUGUGUAGCGGUGAAAUGCGUAGAUAUAGGAAGGAACACCAGUGGCGAAGGCGACUACCUGGACUGAUACUGACACUGAGGUGCGAAAGCGUGGGGAGCGAAC